UGCUUUACUGUGUGGAAUCAAUGGCGAAGGGACUUAUAGUAGGAAGCUGUACGGAGGUAAUGGGCGCAUAACUUACUCAGAUGGAGGUAUUGAUAGUUUCCCUAAAAUAAAUUCCACUAUAUUGCAAACUGAUCAUAUCACUUUUGUAAUCAACAUCCAUUUGGUUUUGGUCCUGCAGUUCAUCCAGAUAAUAUGCCUCCAUUCCACUAUCUAUGUGAUUACCGUCCUGCGGUGGAUAGAGAUAACGUACUUCCAAUUGGCAACAAUUAUCAUCCUGAACUUUGGCAACAAUGUGGUCUUCCAUUAUAAUACCAGAAUUAUGAUAUAGUUAUUAGUAUGAUAGAACCUGCUGAACAACAAGCAUUCCACCUUGUUUUCCUUCUUAAAAGUUUUAAAAGAAAAUACAAUGAAACUCUCACGUUCCAACUUUGAAUUUGUUCUAAUUUUAU
rnacentral:lncRNA from 1 species